rnacentral:rRNA from 1 species
GAUGAACGCUGGCGGCGUGCCUAAUACAUGCAAGUCGAGCGAACAGACGAGGAGCUUGCUCCUCUGACGUUAGCGGCGGACGGGUGAGUAACACGUGGAUAACCUACCUAUAAGACUGGGAUAACUUCGGGAAACCGGAGCUAAUACCGGAUAAUAUAUUGAACCGCAUGGUUCAAUAGUGAAACACGGUUUUGCUGUCACUUAUAGAUGGAUCCGCGCCGCAUUAGCUAGUUGGUAAGGUAACGGCUUACCAAGGCAACGAUGCGUAGCCGACCUGAGAGGGUGAUCGGCCACACUGGAACUGAGACACGGUCCAGACUCCUACGGGAGGCAGCAGUAGGGAAUCUUCCGCAAUGGGCGAAAGCCUGACGGAGCAACGCCGCGUGAGUGAUGAAGGUCUUCGGACCGUAAAACUCUGUUAUUAGGGAAGAACAAAUGUGUAAAUAACUAUGCACGUCUUGACGGUACCUAAUCAGAAAGCCACGGCUAACUACGUG